GACGAACGCUGGCGGCGUGCUUAACACAUGCAAGUCGAACGGAAAGGCCCUGCUUUUGUGGGGUGCUCGAGUGGCGAACGGGUGAGUAACACGUGAGUAACCUGCCCUUGACUUUGGGAUAACUUCAGGAAACUUGGGCUAAUACCGGCUAGGAGCUCCUGCUGCAUGGUGGGGGUUGGAAAGUUUCGGCGGUUGGGGAUGGACUCGCGGCUUAUCAGCUUGUUGGUGGGGUAGUGGCUUACCAAGGCUUUGACGGGUAGCCGGCCUGAGAGGGUGACCGGCCACAUUGGGACUGAGAUACGGCCCAGACUCCUACGGGAGGCAGCAGUGGGGAAUAGUGCACAAUGGGCGGAAGCCUGAUGCAGCAACGCCGCGUGCGGGAUGACGGCCUUCGGGUUGUAAACCGCUUUCGCCUGUGACGAAGCGUGAGUGACGGUAAUGGGUAAAGAAGCACCGGCUAACUACGUG
rnacentral:rRNA from 1 species